UACCCGUACCGUAAACCGACACAGGUGGAUGAGGAGAGAAUCCUAAGGCCGGCGGAAGAAGCAUUGUCAAGGAACUCGGCAAAAUGGCCCCGUAACUUAGGGAUAAGGGGUGCCUGGGAAACCAGGCCGCAGAGAAUAGGCUCAAGCAACUGUUUAGCAAAAACACAGGUCUAUGCGAAACCGAAAGGUGAGGUAUAUGGGCUGACGCCUGCCCGGUGCUGGAAGGUUAAGAGGAGAGGUUAGCGCAAGCGAAGCUUUGAAUUUAAGCCCCAGUAAACGGCGGCCGUAACUAUAACGGUCCUAAGGUAGCGAAAUUCCUUGUCGGGUAAGUUCCGACCCGCACGAAAGGCGUAAUGAUUUGAGCGCUGUCUCGACAAUGCAUCCGGUGAAAUUGAAGUACCAGUGAAGAUGCUGGUUACCUGCGCCAGGACGGAAAGACCCCAUGGAGCUUUACUCCAGUUUGGUACUGGGAUCCGGUACUGCAUGUACAGGAUAGGUGGGAGGCUGAGAAUCGGUAACGCCAGUUGCCGAGGAGCCGCUGUUGGGAUACCACCCUUGCAGUAUUGGGUUUCUAACCAGCCGCCGUGACCCGGCGGUGGGACAAUGCCAGACGGGGAGUUUGACUGGGGCGGUCGCCUCCGAAAGGGUAUCGGAGGCGCCCAAAGGUUCCCUCAGAAUGGACGGAAACCAUUCGAAGAGUGCAAAGGCAGAAGGGAGCUUGACUGCGACACCGACGGGUGGAGCAGGUACGAAAGUAGGACUUAGUGAUCCGGUGGUAUAAAGUGGGAUUGCCAUCGCUCAACGGAUAAAAGCUACCCUGGGGAUAACAGGCUUAUCACUCCCAAGAGUUCACAUCGACGGAGUGGUUUGGCACCUCGAUGUCGGCUCAUCGCAUCCUGGAGCUGUAGCAGGUUCCAAGGGUUGGGCUGUUCGCCCAUUAAAGCGGUACGCGAGCUGGGUUCAGAACGUCGUGAGACAGUUCGGUCCCUAUCCGGCGUGGGCGUAGGAUAUCUGAGAGGAGCUGUCCUUAGUACGAGAGGACCGGGAUGGACGGACCGCUGGUGGACCGGUUGGCUUGCCAAAGCCAUGGCCGGGUAGCCAAGUCCGGAAGGGAUAAACGCUGAAGGCAUCUAAGCGUGAAGCCCCCCU
rnacentral:rRNA from 1 species